AGAGGAUCUGUGAUGUGCUUUCUCUGUACUGUAUUCAUCUUUUUGUACUUUGAUCUAAGGUUAUCAGUGAAGAAAGAAUUGGGGGUAAUAUUUUCUUAGAUGCUC
rfam:Hordeum vulgare subsp. vulgare, WGS project CAJW01000000 data, contig: morex_contig_49548